UACGUAGGGUCCGAGCGUUGUUCGGAAUUACUGGGCGUAAAGAGCUCGUAGGUGGUUUGUCGCGUUGUUCGUGAAAACUCACAGCUCAACUGUGGGCGUGCGGGCGAUACGGGCAGACUAGAGUACUGCAGGGGAGACUGGAAUUCCUGGUGUAGCGGUGGAAUGCGCAGAUAUCAGGAGGAACACCGGUGGCGAAGGCGGGUCUCUGGGCAGUAACUGACGCUGAGGAGCGAAAGCGUGGGGAGCGAACAGG
rnacentral:rRNA from 1 species